GACGAACGCUGGCGGCGUGCUUAACACAUGCAAGUCGAACGAAGUGGCGAACGGGUGAGUAACGCGUAAUCAACCUGCCCUUCAGAGGGGGACAAUAGUUGGAAACGACUGCUAAUACCGCAUAUUGAAGGAGGGGCUUCAGUCUGUUUAGCUAGUUGGUGGGGUAACGGCCCACGAAGGCGAUGAUAAGUGGCCGGUCCGGGGGAGUGAGCGGCCACAUAGGGACUGAGCCACGGCCCAGACUCCUACGGGAGGCAGCAGUGGGGAAUCUUCCGCAAUGGACGAAAGUCUGACGGAGCAACGCCGCGUGAGUGAUGACGGCCUUCGGGUGGUAAAGCUCUGUUAAUCGGGACGCGGUACCGGAAUAGAAAGCCACGGCUAACUACGUGCCAGCCGCCGCGGUAAUAC
rnacentral:rRNA from 1 species